rnacentral:lncRNA from 1 species
GAGGGGGAUAGACACGUGUUUGACCCGAGUCUGCGACGACGUGGCCAUCCACGUACGCGAAGGGCAGAAUGGAAUCCGACCGAAAUGGAAACCGGAUUUUGCCUUGGUUUUCACUUUAUUCCAGGAUUGAGCACCUCUGUACCAGAAUGAAAAAUCAUGGAAAGAAGAAGAAGAAGAAGAAGAAGAAGAAGAAGA